rnacentral:RNase_P_RNA from 1 species
GUUAGUGGGUAAUUGCGUGUGGCUUAUGUCGCAUGAGGAAAGUCCAUGCUCGCACUGACUGCGAUGUCAGUAGUGUUCGUGCUAGCUGAAAAAAUAAGGCUAGGCAGCCGAUUGAAUCGGUUGACGGCCAACGAAAGACCUACGGGUAACUAUGGUUUAGUAGUUGUGAAAGUGCCACAGUGACGAACCGUCAAAGAAAUGCGACGGGUGGAACGCGGUAAACCCCUCGNNCCUCGAGCGGGCAACCCAAACUUUGGUAGGGGCGCUUGACCUAGCGAACUGAAGUGAUGGUCGGGGAGACAGAAAUGUCUGAGAUAGAUGAUUGCCACCGGUUAUAGACCGCCAAUCUGUAAUCGGUACAAAACAUGGCUUAUAGCU